GCUAACUGCAAGUCGAGCGGACAGAUGGGAGCUUGCUCCCUGAUGUUAGCGGCGGACGGGUGAGUAACACGUGGGUAACCUGCCUGUAAGACUGGGAUAACUCCGGGAAACCGGGGCUAAUACCGGAUGGUUGUUUGAACCGCAUGGUUCAGACAUAAAAGGUGGCUUCGGCUACCACUUACAGAUGGACCCGCGGCGCAUUAGCUAGUUGGUGAGGUAACGGCUCACCAAGGCAACGAUGCGUAGCCGACCUGAGAGGGUGAUCGGCCACACUGGGACUGAGACACGGCCCAGACUCCUACGGGAGGCAGCAGUAGGGAAUCUUCCGCAAUGGACGAAAGUCUGACGGAGCAACGCCGCGUGAGUGAUGAAGGUUUUCGGAUCGUAAAGCUCUGUUGUUAGGGAAGAACAAGUGCCGUUCAAAUAGGGCGGCACCUUGACGGUACCUAACCAGAAAGCCACGGCUAACUACGUGCCAGCAGCCGCGGUAAUACGUAGGUGGCAAGCGUUGUCCGGAAUUAUUGGGCGUAAAGGGCUCGCAGGCGGUUUCUUAAGUCUGAUGUGAAAGCCCCCGGCUCAACCGGGGAGGGUCAUUGGAAACUGGGGAACUUGAGUGCAGAAGAGGAGAGUGGAAUUCCACGUGUAGCGGUGAAAUGCGUAGAGAUGUGGAGGAACACCAGUGGCGAAGGCGACUCUCUGGUCUGUAACUGACGCUGAGAGCGAAAGCGUGGGGAGCGAACAGGAUUAGAUACCCUGGUAGUCCACGCCGUAAACGAUGAGUGCUAAGUGUUAGGGGGUUUCCGCCCCUUAGUGCUGCAGCUAACGCAUUAAGCACUCCGCCUGGGGAGUACGGUCGCAAGACUGAAACUCAAAGGAAUUGACGGGGGCCCGCACAAGCGGGGAGCAUGUGGUUUAAUUCGAAGCAACGCGAAGACUUACCAGGUCUUGACAUCCUCUGAAUCCUAAGAUAGGACGUCCCCUUCGGGGCAGAGUGACGGGCAUG
rnacentral:rRNA from 1 species